rnacentral:siRNA from 1 species
GGGACUAUCGAUCACGGGCUGCA